UUGUGAUCUUCGUUCAACCACUCGCGCGCUCUCCCCAGCACCACAUGCUUCUCUUUUAUCCGGCAGUCUGAUAACAUACAUAGCCCGGAAUCUAAAUGGCUGCUCCGAUGGCGGAAGGAGCUGCCGUCGCGGCUUUUCGGUCAGUUAUGCACAGGGUCCGGCAGGCGGCGGAAAGAACCUGUUACCAAACUGAAAGGAUUCGGGUUGUGGCGGUAUCUAAGACGAAGCCAAUCUCUCUUAUUCGCCAGCUCUACGACGUAGGGCAUCGAUGUUUUGGCGAAAAUUACGUUCAGGAGAUAAUCGAAAAGGCUCCCCAGCUCCCUCAAGACAUCGAGUGGCAUUUUAUUGGGCAUUUGCAGAGCAACAAAGUCAAAUCACUUUUGGGUGGUGUACCACAUCUUGACAUGGUUGAGGGCGUGGAUAAUCAGAAGGUGGCAAACCAUCUUGAUCGUAUGGUUUCAACUCUAGGAAGAAAUCCUCUCAAGGUUAUGGUGCAAGUGAAUACCAGUGGAGAAGCUUCCAAAUCUGGUAUUGAUCCUUCCAAUUGUGUUGAACUUGCAAAACAUGUAAAGUUCAAUUGCCCAAACCUAGUAUUGUCUGGCUUAAUGACAAUAGGGAUGCCAGACUACAGCUCAACUCCAGAGAACUUUCAGACACUAUCGCACUGUAGAAGUGAAGUUUGCAAGGCACUUGGAAUGACCGAGGAACAAUGUGAACUGUCAAUGGGCAUGUCUGGUGAUUUUGAAUUAGCGAUUGAAAUGGGAAGCACCAAUGUGAGGAUUGGGUCUAUAAUUUUUGGACCGAGGGAAUAUACAAAGAAACAAUAGCAGGAAUUUGCAAGCAUUCUAUUGGAAACACAGGCGUGCAUGGCAUGCAGAAAGAAGUCAUAAAGUAUAAGAGGAGUGAAGCUUAGAAUUUGCAGGUUUGGGAUCAAGUAUUUUGAAAGUAGAAGAUCAUGAUCAUUUGCAUCAGACUGAGAGGACAACUGUUGACUUGCAUGGAGAGUUUAUCAAGCCUUGCUGUCAAAAACAAAAACAAUUUGAUCUCAUGAACGGUGAUGAUGAAUUUCAGGUUGAACGAUCUAAACCUGAUCAUGAUUUUGUUCGCCCAUUAUCUGAUCGAGGUUUCUCAAGUAAACUAGCACAAGUGUCGUCUCUUCAGCUUGAUCAACCACUCUUUCCAACAGCUGUUGCUUCAAGUAACUUUAGGACAAGCCAUGUAUUCCAAGUGAGGGAAUAUUAAAAUAAAUAAUAUACCUAAUAAAAGAGUCGAGUUAGAGUCUUACUAAAUCCGAGUAUAGAAAAAUCUACUCAACCACUCACACGAGUUUAAACUAUCAGGGUCUAGAUUAUAGUGCACAGCAGAGGCACCAAAGAGAAAGAGAGGAAGAGAAAGAUUGAACUAGAGAACUGUUUGUUUUGUAAUGAUUCUACCUCCAACCUUUGUUCACUAUUUAUAGUGAAGGGAAGUCUCCGUAUAAAAAAAAAAUUCAAUAGAUAUUAA